rnacentral:rRNA from 1 species
GACGAACGCUGGCGGCGUGCUUAACACAUGCAAGUCGAACGGAAAGGCCCUGCUUUUGUGGGGUGCUCGAGUGGCGAACGGGUGAGUAACACGUGAGUAACCUGCCCUUGACUUUGGGAUAACUUCAGGAAACUGGGGCUAAUACCGGAUAGGAGCUCCUGCUGCAUGGUGGGGGUUGGAAAGUUUCGGCGGUUGGGGAUGGACUCGCGGCUUAUCAGCUUGUUGGUGGGGUAGUGGCUUACCAAGGCUUUGACGGGUAGCCGGCCUGGGAGGGUGGCCGGCGACAUUGGGACUGAGGUAGGGCCCAGACGCCUACGGGAGGCAGCAGUGGGGAAUAUUGCACAAUGGGCGGAAGCCUGAUGCAGCAACGCCGCGUGCGGGAUGACGGCCUUCGGGUUGUAAACCGCUUUCGCCUGUGACGAAGCGUGAGUGACGGUAAUGGGUAAAGAAGCACCGGCUAACUACGUG